UCCUGGCUCUAGCAGCACAGAAAUAUUGGCAUGGGGAAGUGAGUCUGCCAAUAUUGGCUGUGCUGCUCCAGGCAGGG
rnacentral:pre_miRNA from 7 species